AGGACGAACGCUGGCGGCGUGCUUAACACAUGCAAGUCGAGCGGAAAGGCCCUUCGGGGUACUCGAGCGGCGAACGGGUGAGUAACACGUGAGUAACCUGCCCCUAGCUCUGGGAUAGCUCCGGGAAACCGGGAUUAAAUACCAGAUACGGACCACUUUAGACAUCUGUCGUGGUGGAAAGGAUUCCGGCUAGGGAUGGGCUCGCGGCCUAUCAGCUUGUUGGUGGGGUAACGCCUACCAAGGCGACGACGGGUA
rnacentral:rRNA from 1 species